AUGGCUCAGGAACCGGGGAUGCAGUGCCAGGCUCAUGGUACCCUGCAGCAGAUGUGGGGAGCUUUCCUUCUUUAUGUUUCCAUGAAGAUGGGAGGCACUACAGGACAAAACAUUGACCAGCCCACUGAGAUGACAGCUACGGAAGGAGCCAUUGUCCAGAUCAAUUGCACGUACCAGACAUCUGGGUUCAACGGGCUGUUCUGGUACCAGCAACAUGCUGGAGAAGCACCCACAUUUCUCUCUUACAAUGUUCUGGAUGGUUUGGACGAGAAAGGUCAUGUUUCUUCAUUCCUUAGUCGCUCUAAAGGGUACAGUUACCUCCUUUUGAAGGAGCUCCAGAUGAAAGAGUCUGCCUCUUACCUCUGUGCUGUGAGAGACACAGUGACUAUGAGGCCUCUUUGGCUGCACCAAAAUUCAAAAGUCAACCACAGCAGCGAGAAGUUGUAUUUCCUGAGUGUAUGCCUGCUGUGAGUUAAGACUGGGACUUUGGAACCAGACUGCCUGGAUUUGAGUUUGCUACUUUCUAGUUGGGUGGUCUUAAGUCAGUCACUAUUUUUUUUUUUUUUGGUUUAUUUCCUUAUCCAGAAAGUGAGAAUAAUGAGUAUCUACCUCACAAGGCUGUUGUGAGUUAUGACUCUC